rnacentral:lncRNA from 1 species
UCACAUGUGAUUCAGUCCCUCUAUCAUGAGUUCUGACUAGAUGGCAGGUCAUGGAUAAAUCGUCAAAUCUUAUCAUUAGUCAUAUGAUAGAUUCGAUCAGCUCAAAUUCAAUUGCAAUCCUUAUUGAAAUUCUUUUCUACCAAUCACACUGCUGUGGCUACAGACUCUCGGAUUUAGCCUCUCAAAUCACAUAGGACUACUUUCUAUCAAGGUCGAUAGAUUCCAUGUAGAUGCGUACCUUACUACAGUGGAUCAACUGUCGCUCACAUCUGACUCAUUGAGAUCAUGUUUAUGUGUUAGUCAAACUCCAGCAGCCUCACUACGAGCAGUCGUAUCAUCGCAGGUUAAAGGAUCAUUCACACAACUACAGCAUCGAGACAAUCGCUCAUAAUCGAGUAGAAAUUCAAGUGAUCUCUCGUACGGUCACGCUCAGUACUAGUUCUCUAACAACUACCUACAUUUGUCGUUCAAUAUCUCUACACUGUAAACCAAAGACUCAUCUAUCUCGAAGAAAGCGAUCUAUGCAUCGGUCUAUCUGGAUCGAUUACCGUCCUCAUGUUGAUACUAUGAUCGGAAGCAUUUAAGAAUUAAUUAUACAUGCCUCUAAUUCUCAACACCUUGAGAGUAUGUAUCGAAGUUUUAAUUCCAUGGACGAUUGAAA